GUGAAUCAUCGAAUCUUUGAACGCAAAUUGCGCCUUUUUCGGAAGGCAUGUCGGUUUGAGGGCACCAUUUAACAAAUAAUGUGCAGCGUUGUUUGUUGUACACGUUGAUGAGAUUUCUAAGAAUUUUAAAUUUUUGGUAGCGUAUAACGAAUAGUGUGAAAGUUUUUUUUAGUUUGAGAGCAGCAAAAUUAUUGCUUGGGUUGUGAAAAAACAUAAUCGCGCAAUGGGUGUGGAAAUUUCUGUUUAUCCCUGACUCAAUGCCAC
rnacentral:misc_RNA from 1 species